rnacentral:rRNA from 1 species
CACGGGGGGAGCAGGCGUUGUUCGGAAUCACUGGGCGUAAGGGGCGUGUAGGCGGUCAGGUUAGUGGGAUGUGAAACGCCCCGGCUCACCCGGGGACCUGCAUCCCAAACUGCCUGGCUUGGGUAUGGGAGAGGAUGAGGGAAUUCCUGGUGUAGCGGUGAAAUGCGUAGAGAUUAGGAAGAAUACCAGUGGCGAAGGCGACUUUCUGGACUGUAACUGACACUGAGGCUCGAAAGCGUGGGGAGCAAAC